AACCUUCUGUAUCCGUGCUAAGAUUUCGUCAGUGAUAAACCUGUUGGGGUUGAUGCAACUUCCCGAAUAAGUGAAGUA
rnacentral:pre_miRNA from 1 species